GUAACACCCAUUCAACCUGCCCUGGAGACAUGGACAACCCCGGGAAACUGGCAUUAAUCCGUGAUAGGUCAUCUCAUCUGGAAGGAGAGAUGGCUUAAAGGGGUACGCGGGCUUCUUCUGCGUAUUCGCUCCAGGAUGGGACUGCGUCCGAUCAGGCUGUUGGCGGGGUAAUGGCCCACCAAACCUGUAACCGGUACGGGCCUUGAGAGAGGUGGCCCGGAGAUGGACACUGAGAGAAGGGUCCAGGUCCUACGGGGCGCAGCAGGCGCGAAACCUUCGCAAUGCGCGAAAGCGUGACGAGGUUAAUCCGAGUGGCCCCCGCUGAGGGGGUCUUUUGUCAGCUGUAAAUAGGCGGGCGAAUAAGGGGAGGGCAAGCCUGGUGUCAGCCGCCGCGGUAAUACCAGCUCCUCGAGUGGUCGGGGCGAUUAUUGGGCCUAAAGCAUCCGUAGCCGGUUCCGUAGGUCCUCUGUUAAAUCCACCCGCUUAACGGGUGACCUGCAGAGGAUACCGCGGGACU
rnacentral:rRNA from 1 species